GAGUUUGAUCAUGGCUCAGAACGUACGCUGGCGGCACGCCUAACACAUGCAAGUCGAACGAAGUAGCAAUACUUAGUGGCAGACGGGUGAGUAACAUGUAGGUAUCUGCCCCUUGGCCUGGAAUAACACGAGGAAACUUGUGCUAAUACCGGAUAAGUCUUUACGGAGAAAGCUUUAUGCACCAUUGGAUGAGCCUGCACUUGAUUAGUUUGUUGGUGGGGUAAUGGCCUACCAAGACUGUGAUCAAUAGCUGAUUUGAGAGGAUGAUCAGCCACAUUGGGACUGAGACACGGCCCAAACUCCUACGGGAGGCAGCAGUGGGGAAUCUUGCACAAUGGAGGAAACUCUGAUGCAGCGAUGCCGCGUGAGUGAAGAAGGCCCUUGGGUUGUAAAGCUCUUUCGUCGGGGAAGAAAAUGACUGUACCCGAAUAAGAAGGUCCGGCUAACUUCGUGCCAGCAGCCGCGGUAAUACGAAGGGACCUAGCGUAGUUCGGAAUUACUGGGCUUAAAGAGUUCGUAGGUGGUUGAAAAAGUUGGUGGUGAAAUCCCAGAGCUUAACUCUGGAACUGCCAUCAAAACUUUUCAGCUAGAGUAUGAUAGAGGAAAGCAGAAUUUCUAGUGUAGAGGUGAAAUUCGUAGAUAUUAGAAAGAAUACCAAUUGCGAAGGCAGCUUUCUGGAUCAUUACUGACACUGAGGAACGAAAGCAUGGGUAGCGAAGAGGAUUAGAUACCCUCGUAGUCCAUGCCGUAAACGAUGUGUGUUAGACGUUGGAAAUUUAUUUUCAGUGUCGCAGCGAAAGCGAUAAACACACCGCCUGGGGAGUACGACCGCAAGGUUAAAACUCAAAUGAAUUGACGGGGACCCGCACAAGUAGUGGAGCAUGUGGUUUAAUUCGAAGAUACGCGCAGAACCUUACCAACACUUGACAUGUUCGUCGCGACUUUAAGAGAUUAAAGUUUUCGGUUCGGCCGGACGAAACACAGGUGCUGCAUGGCUGUCGUCAGCUCGUGUCGUGAGAUGUUGGGUUAAGUCCCGCAACGAGCGCAACCCUCACUUUCAGUUGCCAUCAUUAAGUUGGGCACUCUGAAAGAACUGCCAGUGAUAAGCUGGAGGAAGGUGGGGAUGACGUCAAGUCCUCAUGGCCCUUACGUGUUGGGCUACACACGUGCUACAAUGGUAUCUACAACAGGAAGCAAAACUGCGAAGUUAAGCAAAUCCCUAAAAGAUACCUCAGUUCGGAUUGCACUCUGCAACUCGAGUGCAUGAAGCUGGAAUUACUAGUAAUCGUGGAUCAGCGUGCCACGGUGAAUGCGUUCCCGGGUCUUGUACACACCGCCCGUCACACCAUGGGAGUUGGUUCUACCUUAAGGCAAGGUUUUAAACCCUUGACCACGGUAUAGUCAGCGACUGGGGUGAAGUCGUAACAAGGUAACC
rnacentral:rRNA from 1 species